UAAUACGGAGGGUGCGAGCGUUACCCGGAUUUACUGGGCGUAAAGGGCGUGUAGGCGGUCUUUCAAGUCCGAUGCUAAAGUCUGGGGCUCAACCCCAGGACUGCGUUGGAUACUGGGAGGCUAGACGGUCGGAGGGGGUAGCGGAAUUUCCGGAGUAGCGGUGAAAUGCGCAGAUACCGGAAGGAACGCCAAUAGCGAAGGCAGCUACCUGGACGACUUGUGACGCUGAGGCGCGAAAGCGUGGGGAGCAAACCGGAUUAGAUACCCGGGUAGUCCACGCCCUAAACCAUGAGUGCUGGGUGUCCGGCUUCUGCUGGGUGCCGUAGCUAACGCGCUAAGCACUCCGCCUGGGAAGUACGCACGCAAGUGUG
rnacentral:rRNA from 1 species